AAGAUCCGACCAGGGAGGCCUCAGUGUCUCCUCUCCUUCGGGAGAAUGGAAGGACGCCUGCGGCCUACGCUUUCAACUGAUUAGAUGACACCCACCCACACAGCGAAGGGAAAUCUACUAUGCACGUUACUGCACAGCCGUUGGUAACAGAGGAGAUGAAGACUAAACUAGUGGUUUCUGAGGAUUCUACUGAAUCCGGUGAUUAUAAAUAAAGCUCAUAAAUUUCACAUUCAGUUCCAAAGCAGAUUUUGUCAAGUUCAGACGGAAGAAGAACAAGGACGCUAAUGAUGGGGAGCAGAAAAGUGGCACAAUCAGCCAUGCCGUGAUUGGGGCUCUCAGGCUCCAGCUGCGCCUUCUUUGGAACAUGGCUUGCAGACUCCAGAGGACACUCGAAGAGCGGCUACUUAAAACUGUACGUCAAAAUGCUUCAUGAACCACAAACAUGCACGUAGAUAGCCAUGCACAAUAAAUAAUGUUUUGUUCAGAAAAUAAUGCUGGAGCCAAAAACAAAACUUCAUCUUCGACCUAUGCCAAGAAAUGGCAUUUACAUGUGAGUCUAUUGGUAGUUCAAGAUUUUAGAGGUCUGUAGGUUGCAAAAUAAAGUUCUUUAACAUUUUUGUCAUCACUUUAUGUGCCUAGGUAUUUAUUAUUUCACAUCCCUGUUUUUCCCUCAUCUGUCUUUUAGCAAUUUUUUAUUCUUCAUUUUCUCUCUAAAACUGGUCAUAAUGCAGAAAUAAGGUAGCAUUUAAGUUAUUUUGAUUUUGUUCAUUAAAAACACAUGUAUGUGCCCCUAAAAGUUACUACUUCCUUUUUGCUGCUUAUUAUUUUGUUCAACAUACAUGAGAAAUAAAUAUCUUCCAUAGCUAUUGUACGU
ensembl:lncRNA